rnacentral:rRNA from 1 species
CAGUAGCCGCGGUAAUACGUAGGUGGCAAGCGUUGUCCGGAUUUACUGGGCGUAAAGCGAACGCAGGCUGGCUGUUAAGUGGGAAGUGAAAGGUCGGAGCUCAACUCCAACAUUGCUUCCUAUACUGGCAGUCUUGAGUAGCGGAGAGGAAGGGGGAACGACACGUGUAGCGGUGAAAUGCGUUGAUAUGUGUCGGAACACCCAUGGCGAAAGCACCCUUCUGGACGCAAACUGACGCUCAGGUUCGAAAGCCAAGGUAGCGAACAGGAUUAGAUACCCCGGUAGUCCCUGUCUCUUAUAC